rnacentral:rRNA from 1 species
UGGGGAAUUUUGGACAAUGGGCGAAAGUCUGAUCCAGCAAUGCCGCGUGUGUGAAGAAGGCCUUCGGGUUGUAAAGCACUUUUUUCGGGGAAGAAAAGGUAUUGGGCAAUACCCGGUUGUUUGGGCCGGACCUUAAAAAAAAGGCCCGGUUAAUCCCCGCCCCCCCGCCCCUAAAUUU